UUUUAAUUAAAUUAUCAUUAAUAUAAUAAAUUACGUUUCACUCAAUACGGAUCUCAAAGCCAUGCUUAUUUAAGCUAAAGCGUGGCUGUCUCAAUCGAAUUGCUGUGUGUAGUCUUUGCCUGUCAGCCCAUGAUAGGCUUUUUUUUUA
rfam:Lucilia cuprina strain LS Scaffold1539, whole genome shotgun sequence.